UGGGGAAUAUUGGACAAUGGGCGAAAGCCUGAUCCAGCCAUGCCGCGUGUGUGAAGAAGGCCUUUUGGUUGUAAAGCACUUUAAGUGGGGAGGAAAAGCUUAUGGUUAAUACCCAUAAGCCCUGACGUUACCCACAGAAUAAGCACCGGCUAACUCUGUGCCAGCAGCCGCGGUAAUACAGAGGGUGCAAGCGUUAAUCGGAAUUACUGGGCGUAAAGCGCGCGUAGGUGGUUAUUUAAGUCAGAUGUGAAAGCCCCGGGCUUAACCUGGGAACUGCAUCUGAUACUGGAUAACUAGAGUAGGUGAGAGGGGAGUAGAAUUCCAGGUGUAGCGGUGAAAUGCGUAGAGAUCUGGAGGAAUACCGAUGGCGAAGGCAGCUCCCUGGCAUCAUACUGACACUGAGGUGCGAAAGCGUGGGUAGCAAACAGGAUUAGAUACCCUGGUAGUCCACGCCGUAAACGAUGUCUACCAGUCGUUGGGGUCUUUUAANGACUUAGUGACGCAGCUAACGCAAUAAGUAGACCGCCUGGGGAGNACGGCCGCAAGGUUA
rnacentral:rRNA from 1 species